CAACACUGCACAUGCUUGAAGGUCUAUCACUGCAGUUGUGAUUAUAGCUGGUUCUGACCAACAUUAUGUAGGAAAACAGCUCCAAAAUAAGUUAUUCCAUCAUUGGGAGUAGUUUACCACCAAGGGGGAAGCCAUGCCUUGGCUAGAAAAUAUAAAUAAAAAUAGAGAGAGGAGCACAACAGAACUUGGAUAAGUCUAGCCCGAGGAGAGUCAAACCAGCAUGGCUUCUGUAAGAAAAAAGCGUAGCUCUGCAAACCGAGAGAGUUCUUUGACAAAUGUAAUGAAAAGGAAGAUGCAGCUGACAUGAUUUACUUGGCUUUUUAAUAAGCUAAUAAAAUCUCUCAGAAGAAACUAUUAAGCACAAGUUGUCUGAAGCUCACCUUUGUUGAAGCAUCACAACAGAAAUUUAAAAGCAAAAAGCACACACAUGAUACGUGAAUGAAGGCAGAUGCAUUUUAAUAUUCUAACAAUGGUCACUUUUUUAUGCUCUUCUCUGGACCUCCACAUCUGGUUUCUCCACAUCUUUCC